rnacentral:rRNA from 1 species
AUUGAACGCUGGCGGCAGGCCUAACACAUGCAAGUCGAACGGAGCGGCGGACGGGUGAGUAAUGCCUAGGAAUCUGCCUGGUAGUGGGGGAUACCGUCCGGAACCGGGCGCUAAUACCGCAUAUUAGCAGAUGCGUCUCGGUCGGAUUAGCUGGCUGGUGGGGUAAAGGACUACCAAGGCGACGAUCCGUAACUGGUCUGAGAGAAUGAUCAGUCACACGAGAACGGAGACACGGUCCAGACGCCUACGAGAGGCAGCAGUGGGGAAUAUUGGGCAAUGGGCGAAAGCCUUAACCAGCCAUGCCGCGUGUGUGAAGAAGGUCUUCGGAUUGUAAAGCACUUUAAGUUGGGAGGCGUUACCAACAGAAUAAGCAACGGCUAACUUCGUGCCAGCCGCCGCGGUAAUUC